AGGGACAGGGCUGAAGCACCAGAGCCCUGAGCUCUCUGCUGAGCCACGGGGAGUCUGUGCUAUGGAAAGGCUGCAGUGUGCUUGGACACUGAAAUGUAACCACAACUGGAGUGUCCAGGGGUGCAGAAAAUAGCCUGUCACCCAUAUCUGAAGUGAAAGGGCUGCACACUGAAGUGUUCCCUGGGAUGAAAUAAUAUGUGAUUCCAGUGUUGAUGCCUUUGACUGCAUGGCACAUCAGGAGAAGAAGAUUCACUGAGAAAUCACCUUUAUUUUGGGAGUGCUUUUUUUCCCUGUCCCAUGUGAACAAUUUGAUCUUCCUGACCCAUUUGCAGCAGCAUGUAAUAGCCAAGCAUGUAUUUUCAGCUGUCACACAGGGUUUGAUGCCCUGAGAUCCUGGCUAUAGG